rnacentral:rRNA from 1 species
GACAGAGGGUGCAAACGUUGUUCGGAAUUACUGGGCGUAAAGCGCGUGUAGGCGGCUCGGAAAGUCGGAUGUGAAAGCCCUGGGCUUAACCUAGGAAGUGCAUUCGAAACUCCCGAGCUUGAGUUCUGGAGAGGAAGGCGGAAUUCUCGGUGUAGAGGUGAAAUUCGUAGAUAUCGAGAGGAACACCGGUGGCGAAGGCGGCCUUCUGGACAGUGACUGACGCUGAGACGCGAAGGCGUGGGGAGCAAACAGG